AUCUACGGCCAUGCUACCCUGAACAAGCCUGAUCCCGUCUGAUCUCGGAAGCUAAGCAGGGUUGGGCCUGGUUAGUACUUGGAUGGGAGACCACCUAGGAAGACCAGGUGCUGUAGGUG
rnacentral:rRNA from 1 species